rnacentral:rRNA from 1 species
AGAUUGAACGCUGGCGGCAGGCUUAACACAUGCAAGUCGAGCGGUAGCAGGUCCUUCGGGAUGCUGACGAGCGGCGGACGGGUGAGUAAUACAUAGGAAACUGCCCAGUAGUGGGGGAUAGCCCGGGGAAACCCGGAUUAAUACCGCAUACGCCCUUUGGGGGAAAGCAGGGGAUCUUCGGACCUUGCGCUAUUGGAUGUGCCUAUGUCGGAUUAGCUAGUUGGUGGGUAAAGGCCUACCAAGGCGACGAUCCGUAGCUGGUCUGAGAGGAUGAUCAGCCACAUCGGGACUGAGACACGGCCCGAACUCCUACGGGAGGCAGCAGUGGGGAAUAUUGGACAAGUGGGGGCAACCCUGAUCCAGCCAUGCCGCGUGUGUGAAGAAGGCGUUUCGGGUUGUAAAGCACUUUCAGUGAAGGAGGAACGUA